AUUGAACGCUGGCGGCAGGCCUAACACAUGCAAGUCGAGCGGAUGAGUGGAGCUUGCUCCAUGAUUCAGCGGCGGACGGGUGAGUAAUGCCUAGGAAUCUGCCUGGUAGUGGGGGACAACGUUUCGAAAGGAACGCUAAUACCGCAUACGUCCUACGGGAGAAAGCAGGGGACCUUCGGGCCUUGCGCUAUCAGAUGAGCCUAGGUCGGAUUAGCUAGUAGGUGAGGUAAUGGUUCACCUAGGCGACGAUCCGUAACUGGUCUGAGAGGAUGAUCAGUCACACUGGAACUGAGACACGGUCCAGACUCCUACGGGAGGCAGCAGUGGGGAAUAUUGGACAAUGGGCGAAAGCCUGAUCCAGCCAUGCCGCGUGUGUGAAGAAGGUCUUCGGAUUGUAAAGCACUUUAAGUUGGGAGGAAGGGCAGUAAGUUAAUACCUUGCUGUUUUGACGUUACCAACAGAAUAAGUACCGGCUAACUUCGUGCCAGCCGCCGCCGUAA
rnacentral:rRNA from 1 species